UAGAGAUCAUGAAGCUCCAACGCCUUUGCCAUCUUCUUGUAUAUCGUUAUCAAACUGUAUCCUAUACGCACUACAAAUAUGGCUUCAGCACCCCAGCACAAAUUGGAGCUCUUCAAUCUCUGCAAAAGCUUUGCUACAUAGAUGCAGAUGAUGAUAGAACCAACAAUGUUAUAAGUGAGCUCGGGAAGCUAAAUCAGCUGAGAAGACUCUGCAUUCUAAAGUUGAAGAAAGAAGAUGGAAGGAAAUUGUGCUGGUCAAUUGCGAAGUUGACAAACCUCCAGUCCCUGGCUGUUUAUUCAUUAGGAGAUGAUGAAGAAAUUGAUCUGCAGAACCUUUCUUCUCCACCGCCACUACUUCAAAGGAUCUACCUGAGAGGACGUAUGCGGGCUUUGCCACAUUGGAUAGCAAGCAUGCAUGGUCUUGCCAAGUUACAUUUAAGUUGGUGUUUGCUUAAGGAAGAUCCCCUGCCAUCCCUCCAGGAUUUGCCCAAUCUUGUACAUCUUGAGUUACUUCAAGUUCACGAUUGGCAAACACUAUGCUUUAAGGCUAAAGGGUUUCAAAAGCUCAAGAUAUUAGGUCUUGAUUAUUAUGAGGAGCUCACAUUUGUACAGAUAGAGGAGGAAGCAAUGUCUAACCUUGAGAAAUUGAUGAUCCAGCGAUGCAAACAGCUGAAGAGUAUGCCAUCGGGAAUCGAGCACCUCACCAAGCUCAAAGUGCUGGAGUUCUUUGAC
rnacentral:lncRNA from 1 species